rnacentral:misc_RNA from 1 species
UUGAAUGGUCUUUGACCUUCUACCCUUAAAACAUGUGGAAGCAAAUAUCGUGCUUCGGCCUCCCUUUGGGGUGGCCGCUUUUAUGCAGAAACCCGUAUGUUGUCUGAAUGAAAAACAUUACAAUCA